rnacentral:lncRNA from 1 species
CCACUAGACCAGGCUGCCCAGAGCCACAUCCAGCCUGGCCUUGAAUGCCUCCAGGGAUGGGGCAUCCACAACCUCCUUGGGCAACCUGUUCCAGUGCGUCACCACCCUCUGAGUGAAAAACUUCCUCCUAAUAUCUAACCUAAGCCUCCCCUGUCCCAGUUUAAAACCAUUCCCCCUUGUCCUAUCACUAUCCACCCUCAUAAACAGCCAUUCCCCCUCCUGUUUAUACGUUCCCUUCAAGUACUGGAAGGCCACAAUGAGGUCUCCCCGGGGCCUUCUCCAAGCUAAACAAUCCCAGUUCCCUCAACCUUUCUCCAUAGAAGAGGUGCUCCAGCCCUCUGAUCAUCUUAGAAGAAGAACAAUUUAUUACAGAUAUCCCACUGUGCUUCCAGCUCCUCCUUCAGAAAGACAGAAAGUCUUCAGAAAGUCUUCCCUGUCGUAUCUGCCAGAUUCGUGAAGCCAUCAAGCAGUAUUAGUUGGAGGACUGUAUCUUCAUCUGAACUAUUGUGCAAGUGUCCCCUGCGACUGCACGGUUUGCACCACGUCUGGUAUUUUUUCCAGUAUCUCAUUUGCUCAGCGUCCCUGGAGUAACUAAAAGAAUUGCCAACAUCAGAACAGACCAGAUCCCCAGUGCAUGCUGCCUUUAUACAUCUGGGAUCUUCUUAUCUCUUUGAAUAAAUGAAUGGAAAGAAGAAGGAAUCGGUGUUGAGUGAUCUUCCAGCUUUGCAUGAUUCACUGAGAACUAUGUAUUCUCACCACAAAGGCUGUAUACUGGGAAUUUGUGCUAUUUCAAGCUUUGUAGUGUGUAACACAGAAAAGUAGCUUUAUGGCUCAGCUUAUUUGGUAAUCCUUUCUUAAUUAUGGGAAUACAUAUGAAUCUAAAAUGAAAGGCU